UACAGAGGUCCCAAGCGUUGUUCGGAUGCACUGGGCGUAAAGGGUGCGUAGGCGGUCGGGUAAGUCUGAUGUGAAAUCUCACAGCUUAACUGUGAAACUGCAUUGGAUACUAUCCGGCUAGAGGAAUGGAGGGGAGACUGGAAUACUUGGUGUAGCAGUGAAAUGCGUAGAUAUCAAGUGGAACACCAGUGGCGAAGGCGAGUCCCUGGACAUUUCCUGACGCUGAGGCACGAAAUCCAGGGGAGCAAACGGG
rnacentral:rRNA from 1 species